ensembl:lncRNA
UCAUCUCCUCAGAGGCCCGUGAUCCCGUUGGGAGUAGAGCGGCUAGCGAGAUGCCGCAUCAUUGCUGUAUCUAACACGCAUUUUAUUUGCACUAGAAAAUAAAUUCGUUGGCUACAUCGACGUGGUCCUCUGCUGUCAUCGUUCCCCACACCCGCACACACAACGCAGAGAGAGGGUCAGAGAGUUGGGCCAGACCGGCUACAGUGGUGCCGUGAACCGGAUCCACGCUGCUUCAGACUGGUUCAGACUGGUUCGUCGUGAUUCCUGGAGCAGUGGAUCAACACCAGCUUGGACACCGGAGGUUGCCCUCAGUUACAUCCUGCAUCCAGAAGAUUUCCAGAGCAGUAUCUGCAUCGUUUUAGCUGAAUGGAGGAGCUUUGAAGGCCUCAGACACACAUCUGUGACUGUAAGACGUGAAUUUGGGACGUUCUGGAUCCGACUGGCGGCUUCCUGCUGUUGGAAAUGUCAUCGUCUCCAUUAACAGCAGAGAAACGCCGAAAAGGCUGCUGCUGCCUCACACUCGAUAGUGAUGAAGGAGGAAUUCAUCUGUGAGGUCAGUCGAUACCCACCGCGAUGGAGAGUCGCUGCUCUGCCUUCAGCCUCUAAGACGAUCAGGACGGAUAUUAAAAAACAUGUGAGGCUACAGAUCCUCAGCAGAUCAACCCUCAGACCUCGUAGAUCCAAACCUCCAGAUGUGGGUUCAGUCUGGAGCUCCUGAUGUGUGACCCUCCUCCUCCAUCCCAUGUUCUCCAUCACUCUGGGCUGUCAAACAUCCCCACCAGACCACUGUUCCUGCAGAUGGAAAGCGGUGAUUUGAGGCUCCUCUGAACUACUGAGUGCAGUGAAAUGGACGUUUAUUUACAUGAAAAUGCCACGGCUUAUUACCACAACACUGAUUCAGAGCAGGCGUCGGGAUUGAUAACCCCAUAAAGCAAACAGCGCCGGCCUUAUAAAACACAGGAACAGUGGAGCAUGAGCUCCCCGAGUAUAAACAAUCCAGCCCAUAAUAUGAGCCGGUGAUGUAAUGAUUCCAGCCAUGAUGUGACCCACUUUGUUUCCAUGGGUAACUCACUUAGAGACACAUUACGCUGGAUGGAUGAAUGGCUGGAUGGAGGGAUGAAUAGAGCAGGAAGUUGGAAGAGUGAAAGUAGCAGUUCCUCCUGAAGGUCAGAGAUUGCAGCAUCUGAGGGCCUCUUCAAAAGAAGACGUAGUUGAUGAAGGCGUUCUGGAGCAGGACCAGAAAGACCACGACCAAGCAGCCUUGAGAUCUUAGGCAGCGUCUCCCUCAGGUCCCUCUCUAUCUCCCCACACAUCCACCAACCACUGGAACACAUCUCCAAAGUUCUGCUGGACCAGCUCAGCUUCCCCUC